UGAGCAAUCUGCCCUUCUCUUUGGAAUAAGCGUUGGAAACGACGUCUAAUGCCGAAUACGACCUCCUUUCGCAUGAUCGGAGGUGGAAAGCUCCGGCGGAGAAGGAUGAGCUCGCGGCCUAUCAACUAGUUGGUGUGGGUAAUGGCCCACCAAGGCGACGACGGGUAGCCGGCCUGAGAGGGUGACCGGCCACACUGGGACUGAGACACGGCCCAGACUCCGUACGGGAGCAGCAGG
rnacentral:rRNA from 1 species